UCACAGUAAAUUUCAUUGUGUCAAAAGUCC
rnacentral:piRNA from 1 species